UUUUAAUAAAAAAUUAAUUAAUAAAAAAUUAAAUGAAAUCAUUAAAUUUAAAUAAUUUGGCGGUAUUUUAAAUAGUUAGAGGAAUUUGUUAAAUAAAUGAUAAUCCACGAAUGGAGGGUCCUAAAUAUUAUUUUAUGUAUUGUUGUAUAAAAAUUAUUUUAUAAAAAUUAUGAUUAAAAAAUUAUAUUUAAUUUUAAUUCAAAUCAAAAUGUAGAUUUAUUAGGUAUUAAUGAAUUACAAUUUAAUUAAAAAUUAAAUUUAUUUUUUUAAUAAAAAUAAUGAAAUAGGAUUUAAAAGUAAAUUUAAAAAAAUAUUUAAAUUGAAAAAUUAAUUAAAAUAUG
rnacentral:rRNA from 1 species